CCAAAAGGAGGAAAGCUGCUGAAUCAGAGGAGAAUCAGGAUUGGGAGGAUGGUGGGGAAUAUGAGAGUAGCACUAGGCAAACAAAAUGGUGAGCACGCCUUGGGCGACGUUCUCAGCGUGUUUUCUUGGGAGAUCAAAGCUUAAAUCCCAUUAACCCUUCAAAUGUCAGCCUGGGCAGCCUUUUUUACCCCCUGGCAAGAGGCUGAAUGAGGCUUUGUUGGCCAGCAGAGCCAUUUUGGAGCAAAUUAAGAUUUGUUGGGUGCUUGAUACAGAUCUCUUGGACAUCAGGUGCUUCACAACAAAUGCCAUAAACCCAAGGAAAAUGAGAAAGAAGAAAAGAAGAAGAAGAAUACUUGAAAUGUUUUUAUUAUUUUAGAGGCCGGCUGUGAUUGGAUUGGAUGAUUUUAAAGGUUUUUUUCCAAGCUGAAUGAUCCCAUGAAGUUUGCUGGAUAAGGUUAAAGGAGAAUCUCUCACUCAGGAGCAGAAGGUGGCUCACAGAAAAUGUGACCUGGAUCCAAAUGGCCACUGAGGGCUGAGCCCCAAAGCUCCUCAGACAGCCAAAGAUGGAGAAGAAAAGUCAAAUUUAACCUUCCACAGGCUGUGCCUCAGUUGUCCUGACACAGGGAACGUCUCUGGGUUUAUCCUGCAACCAAAGCAUUUGUGAUGUGUAAAUUAUUUCAUUUCUCACUGUGCUUCUUGGAACACGGCAUCCUUACUCCAAAGAACGGACACCCUUCAGGCUCCCCGCUCCACGGAUGGCGAGAGCAGCGGUGACGGCGGGGCCACCGCAGCCUGCAGAUUUAACCCUUAUUAACAGCGGCUUCAAUUAAGGAUUCGGUUUGAUCUGGGGAGAUGCGCUCACCCCCGUGUGCUCCCAGUGAAGGAAAGGAAGGUUAUUAAAGAUUUAAGGGCUGGAUGGUGCGGCGGGAGCUCGGGGAGGAGGGCGGAGGCUCCAGGGUGUGCUCAGGUGCUGCAGAGCCCUCCUGAGCCAGGACAGAUGCUCAGAGCAGGGUCCUGCAUGCCAGAGCCUUGGGAAAGGGGCAGGAGGUGCUGGGAAGUGGUUUUGGGCCACCCCUGUGGUGUGGCUGUGGUUUGAGACUGGAAUGUGCUGGUGCCAUGGGGCUGCACAAGGACCACGUUGGUGGGGUGGUCGCCUCUUCUUUAUGCAGAAGAAGAGAUUUCCUUCCUUCCCUUCCUUCCUUUCCUAUUGGACACUUUCCUCCCUUUCCUUCAUUUCCUCCCCUUCCUCCUUUUCCUGCCU